rnacentral:misc_RNA from 1 species
UAGAAGUCACCUAUGUUUAAAAUGUUGUUUCAAGUCUUUCUUUAGUUCUUUAAAAAAUUACUUUCUUCGUCAAUUCUAUAUUCCACUAGCGACUCCAUCAACUACCAUGUUUCUUCUUCUGUAUCACGAGCAUGAAUUCCUUUUGAUAACCUUUAAGCAUAAGAAUUUGCAUUAUCAUUUUCUUUCUCAUUCAAUUCUGGUAACACACACACAAAGUGGAGGAGAGAGGAG